CCUUAGAGUUUGAUCCUGGCUCAGAGCGAACGCUGGCGGCAGGCUUAACACAUGCAAGUCGAGCGGGCGUAGCAAUACGUCAGCGGCAGACGGGUGAGUAACGCGUGGGAACGUACCUUUUGGUUCGGAACAACACAGGGAAACUUGUGCUAAUACCGGAUAAGCCCUUACGGGGAAAGAUUUAUCGCCGAAAGAUCGGCCCGCGUCUGAUUAGCUAGUUGGUGAGGUAACGGCUCACCAAGGCGACGAUCAGUAGCUGGUCUGAGAGGAUGAUCAGCCACAUUGGGACUGAGACACGGCCCAAACUCCUACGGGAGGCAGCAGUGGGGAAUAUUGGACAAUGGGGGCAACCCUGAUCCAGCCAUGCCGCGUGAGUGAUGAAGGCCCUAGGGUUGUAAAGCUCUUUUGUGCGGGAAGAUAAUGACGGUACCGCAAGAAUAAGCCCCGGCUAACUUCGUGCCAGCAGCCGCGGUAAUACGAAGGGGGCUAGCGUUGCUCGGAAUCACUGGGCGUAAAGGGUGCGUAGGCGGAUCUUUAAGUCAGAGGUGAAAGCCUGGAGCUCAACUCCAGAACUGCCUUUGAUACUGGGGAUCUUGAGUUCGGGAGAGGUGAGUGGAACUGCGAGUGUAGAGGUGAAAUUCGUAGAUAUUCGCAAGAACACCAGUGGCGAAGGCGGCUCACUGGCCCGAUACUGACGCUGAGGCACGAAAGCGUGGGGAGCAAACAGGAUUGGAUACCCUGGUAGUCCACGCCGUAAAC
rnacentral:rRNA from 1 species